AUGCAGCUGACGAGUCCCAAAUAGGACGAAAUGCGCAUCCUGGAU
rfam:Trichobilharzia regenti genome assembly, scaffold: TRE_scaffold0007120